rnacentral:rRNA from 1 species
AUUGAACGCUGGCGGCAUGCUUUACACAUGCAAGUCGAGCGGCAGCGCGGGGGCAACCCUGGCGGCGAGCGGCGAACGGGUGAGUAAUGCAUCGGAACGUACCCUGGAGUGGGGGAUAACGCCGCGAAAGCGGCGCUAAUACCGCAUAUGCUCUGAGGAGGAAAGUGGGGGACCGCAAGGCCUCACGCUCUGGGAGCGGCCGAUGUCCGAUUAGCUAGUUGGUGGGGUAAAGGCUUACCAAGGCGACGAUCGGUAGCUGGUCUGAGAGGAUGAUCAGCCACACUGGGACUGAGACACGGCCCAGACUCCUACGGGAGGCAGCAGUGGGGAAUUUUGGACAAUGGGGGCAACCCUGAUCCAGCCAUGCCGCGUGAGUGAAGAAGGCCUCGGUGUAAGAUCUUGUCGGUAGAAGAGCUGCUAUACGCGAGGUGGUUGACGGUACCGGCGACG